GUGCUCACUUCAGCAGCACAUAUACUAAAAUUGGAAUAAUACAGAGAUCAGCAUGGCCCCUGCACAAGGAAGACAUACAAAAUCCAUGAAGCAUUCCAUUAUUUU
rnacentral:snRNA from 1 species